rnacentral:rRNA from 1 species
CUUGGUCAUUUAGAGGAAGUAAAAGUCGUAACAAGGUUUCCGUAGGUGAACCUGCGGAAGGAUCAUUACCGAAAUCUCUGCAUUUAUUUGCAGUUAUUUACACCACUGUGAACUGUGUUUGUCUUGUGAGGUUCUUUCUAAGUUAAAUGGAGUGUUAUUUUAGUUCGCUAUUAAAACACUGCUGCCUCACUUGACUUCUCUGCUGUUGAUUUUUCAACAGUGCAUUUUUCAAAUCACAUCUCAGUCAGCAAUUUCGUGAAGUUCUUUAUUGAACUGAUCGACAAGUAAAAAUCAAAUACAACUUUUAACGGUGGAUCUCUUGGCUCGUGCAUCGAUGAAGAACGUAGCCAGUUGCGAUAAGUAAUGUGAAUUGCAGAAUUCAGUGAAUCAUCGAAUUUUUGAACGCAAAUUGUGCUCUCUGGAUACCCAGGGAGCAUGUUUGUCUGAGUGUCAUUUUAAAUUCUACACACUUUGGUGUGGUGUGAGGGUUCAGGUUGUUUCAACCUGUCCUUCCAAGUUCCUGAACCUGGCACUCUUGCUCUCAAGAGAGUGUUCGGAAGGCUCAACUUGCUUCUGUCCUUCCUGCGCUUUUCUUUGCUCGAGUGUUCAGUUGUUCUUCAUUUUCGAAAGAAAAUAACUUCUAAUUUUGACCUCAGAUCAAGCAAGACUACCCGCUGAAUUUAAGCAUAUCAAU